UAAGCUAAAGCUUUGAAGAAGCGUUAAACUUUUAAUUUAAUGAACUUGUGUAAUGUGCAAGUAGCUUUU
rnacentral:tRNA from 1 species